rnacentral:rRNA from 1 species
GAUGAACGCUGGCGGCGUGCCUAAUACAUGCAAGUCGAGCGAACAGACGAGGAGCUUGCUCCUCUGACGUUAGCGGCGGACGGGUGAGUAACACGUGGAUAACCUCCCUAUAAGACUGGGAUAACUUCGGGAAACCGGAGCUAAUACCGGAUAAUAUAUUGAACCGCAUGGUUCAAUAGUGAAAGACGGUUUUGCUGUCACUUAUAGAUGGAUCCGCGCCGCAUUAGCUAGUUGGUAAGGUAACGGCUUACCAAGGCGACGAUGCGUAGCCGACCUGAGAGGGUGAUCGGCCACACUGGAACUGAGACACGGUCCAGACUCCUACGGGAGGCAGCAGUAGGGAAUCUUACGCAAUGGGCGAAAGCCUGACGGAGCAACGCCGCGUGAGUGAUGAAGGUCUUCGGAUAGUAAAACUCUGUUAUUAGGGAAGAACAAAUGUGUAAGUAACUAUGCACGUCUUGACGGUACCUAAUCAGAAAGCCACGGCUAACUACGUG